rnacentral:rRNA from 1 species
GACGAACGCUGGCGGCGUGCUUAACACAUGCAAGUCGAGCGAUGAAGCUUCUUCGGAAGUGGAUUAGCGGCGGACGGGUGAGUAACACGUGGGCAACCUGCCUUGUAGAGGGAGAUAGCCUUCCGAAAGGGAGAUUAAUACCGCAUAACAUAGCGAAUUCGCAUGGAUUUGCUAUCAAAGAUUUAUCGCUACAAGAUGGGCUCGCGUCGCAUUAGCUAGUUGGUGAGGUAACGGCUCACCAAGGCCACGAUGCGUAGCCGACCUGAGAGGGUGAUCGGCCACAUUGGAACUGAGACACGGUCCAGACUCCUACGGGAGGCAGCAGUGGGGAAUAUUGCACAAUGGGCGAAAGCCUGAUGCAGCAACGCCGCGUGAGUGAAGAAGGUCUUCGGAUUGUAAAGCUCUUUGAUUAGGGACGAUAAUGACGGUACCUAAAGAACAAGCCACGGCUAACUACGUGCCAGCCGCCGCAGUAACAC